GCAUUAAUGGGGUAGUGGUAACCUGGGUCGUUGCCAUGGGACAUGUGAUAUAAGGGAGCUGAUCAUCGCUCGACCCGCCGGGGGUUCGAUUCCCCCUUAAUGCC